ACUAUGAUGAUCAAAAGUACUGCAUAUUGCCAUUGGCUUUCUCUGAAGAUCUCUUCCAAAAUGACAUAAUUGCCAGAGUCGCUUACCUUUCUAAGUAUAGAAAAUAAGUGUCAUUUUCAGCUAGUAUGG